ACGAAUUCAUCCGAGGUUGUGCUGGUUCUCACAAGUGCACGCCUCUUCAAAUUCAUUUCACACCCAUCGUGCACCUUUAGAGAUUCGGAAUCGUCUCCCGGUUCCCCCCGUUUUACGUGCCCCCCGCCCCGGGGGCUAUGGGGUUUCGGGACGUCCGGUCUAUUUCAUACACCCUUCAUUAGUAUUCAGAAUGUCAUCUGCGGAAACGCAUAAAAUUAAUA
rnacentral:misc_RNA from 1 species